GGCGGCGUGGAUAAGACAUGCAAGUCGAACGAGAUUUCUAAAAGCUUGCUUUUAGAUUGAGAGUGGCAGACGGGUGCGUAACACGUGGGAACCAACCCAAAAGUGGGGGAUAGCUCGCUGAAAAGCGAAUUAAUACCGCAUGUGAUCGAAAGAUCAAAGGAGGCUUUUGCUUUCGCUUUUGGACGGGCCCGCGCCCUAUCAGCUUGUUGGUGAGGUAAAAGCUCACCAAGGCUACGACGGGUAACUGAUCUUAGAGGAUGAUCAGUCACACUGGAACUGAUACACGGUCCAGACACCUACGGGUGGCAGCAGUCGAGAAUCAUUCACAAUGGGGGAAACCCUGAUGGUGCGACGCCGCGUGGAGGAUGAAGGCCUUAGGGUCGUAAACUCCUGUCACCAUAGAACAAGACUUAGAGGUUAAUACCCGCCUAAGUUUGAUGGUAUAUGGAGAGGAAGGAACGGCUAACUCUGUGCCAGCAGCCGCGGUAAUACAGAGGUUCCAAGCGUUGUUCGGAUUUACUGGGCGUAAAGGGUGCGUAGGAGGCUAGGUAAGUCAGAUGUGAAAUCUCACUGCUCAACAGUGAAACUGCAUCCGAUACUAUCUGGCUAGAGGAUCGGAGAGGUAAGCGGAAUUCUUGGUGUAGCGGUGAAAUGCGUAGAUAUCAAGAGGAACACCAAUGGCGAAAGCAGCUUACUGGAAGAUACCUGACUCUGAGGCACGAAGGCCAGGGGAGCGAACGGGAUUAGAUACCCCGGUAGUCCUGGCAGUAAACGUUGUGCAUUAGGUGCUGGGGGAUUCGACCCCUUCAGUGCCGCACCUAACGGAAUAAAUGCACCGCCUGGGGAGUACGGUCGCAAGAUUAAAACUCAAAGAAAUUGACGGGGGCCCGCACAAGCGGUGGAGUAUGUGGCUUAAUUCGAUCCACGCGAAGAACCUUACCUGGACUUGACAUGCUUAGUUCAACCACAGAGAUGUGGUGGCCCGCAAGGGCGAUUUGCACAGGUGCUGCAUGGCUGUCGUCAGCUCGUGUCGUGAGAUGUUGGGUUAAGUUCCGCAACGAGCGCAACCCUUGCGACUAGUUAUACGCUUCGGCUCACUAGUCGGACUGCCCUGUUCAACGGGGAGGAAGGUGGAGAUGACGUCAAGUCAGCAUGGCCCUUAUGUCCAGGGCUGCACACGUACUACAAUGCAUACCACAGAGGGACGCAAGACCGCGAGGUGGAGCAAAUCCCAGAAAAGUAUGCUCAGUUCGGAUUGUAGUCUGCAACUCGACUACAUGAAGCUGGAAUCGCUAGUAAUGGCGCAUCAGCUACGGCGCCAUGAAUACGUUCCCGGGCCUUGUACACACUGCCCGUCACAUCAUGAAAGCCGGUCUCACCCGAAGUCGUUAUUCUAACUUCGGAGGAAGACGCCUAAGGUGCGGCUGGUAAUUGGGAUGAAGUCGGAACAAGGUA
rnacentral:rRNA from 1 species